UACGUAGGGGGCAAGCGUUGUCCGGAAUCAUUGGGCGUAAAGAGCGUGUAGGCGGCUCGAUAAGUCUGCUGUGAAAGUCCAGGGCUCAACCCUGGAAGGCCGGUGGAAACUGUCGGGCUAGAGUCCGGAAGAGGCGAGUGGAAUUCCCGGUGUAGCGGUGAAAUGCGCAGAUAUCGGGAGGAACACCAAUGGCGAAGGCAGCUCGCUGGGACGGUACUGACACUCAACUGCGAAAGCGUGGGGAGCAAACAGG
rnacentral:rRNA from 1 species